rnacentral:RNase_P_RNA from 1 species
CAGGUACAGCAGACAAUAGCUUUUUACAAGAGGAAAGUCCGAGCUGCAGUGAAGUAUGGUUCCAUUUAACGAAUGGCUAGGGCAACCUAAGGGACAGUGCAACAGAGAGUAGACCGCCCAUUUUGGGUAAGGGUGAAACGGUGGUGUAAGAGACCACCAGACUUUUGAGCAAUCUUAAGUGCUUUGUAAACCCAACCAGCAGCAAGAAGAGGUGGUGGGAACUUCACAAUCCCUCUCUUCGCAAGAGUGUUUAAGCAAUUAAACAACGAGAUAAAUUAUUGUCUAAUACAAAACUCGGCUUACAGCUGUGCCUUUUCU